rnacentral:rRNA from 1 species
AUUGAACGCUGGUGGCAGGCCUAACACAUGCAAGUCGGGCGGUAACAGGGAUAGCUUGCUAUCUGCUGACGAGCGGCGGACGGGUGAGUAAUGCAUAGGAAUCUGCCUGGUAGUGGGGGAUAGCCCAGAGAAAUUUGGAUUAAUACCGCAUACGCCCUACGGGGGAAAGCAGGGGAUCUUCGGACCUAGCGCUAUCAGAUGAGCCUAUGUCGGAUUAGCUUGUUGGUGAGGUAACGGCUCACCAAGGCGACGAUCCGUAGCUGGUCUGAGAGGAGAUCAGCCACAC